rnacentral:rRNA from 1 species
CCUACGGGCGGCAGCAGUGGGGAAUAUUGCGCAAUGGGCGAAAGCCUGACGCAGCGACGCCGCGUGAGGGAUGAAGGUCUUCGGAUCGUAAACCUCUGUCAGCAGGGAAGAACGGUCACUGUGCUAAUCAGCAGUGAAUUGACGGUACCUGCAAAGGAAGGACCGGCUAACUCCGUGCCAGCAGCCGCCGUAAUACGGAGGGUGCGAGCGUUAAUCGGAAUUACUGGGCGUAAAGCGCUCGUAGGCGGUAUGUCAAGUCAAGGGUGAAAUCCCCGCGCUCAACGUGGGAACCGCCUUUGAAACUGGCAAACUGGAGUGUGUGAGAGGAUAGUGGAAUUCCAGGUGUAGGAGUGAAAUGCGUAGAUAUCUGGAGGAACAUCAGUGGCGAAGGCGACUAUCUGGCACAUAACUGACGCUGAGGAGCGAAAGCGUGGGUAGCAAACAGGAUUAGAUACCCCUGUAGUC